rnacentral:rRNA from 1 species
GAAGGUAAUACCAGAUGAGACCACGAUCAGGCAUCUGAUUGUGCUCAAAGGUCCGCCGGUCUGGGAGCAGGCGAUUUCGUAUCAGCUUGUUGGUGAGGUAACGGCUCACCAAGGCGACGACGCGUAGCCGGACUGAGAGGUUGGCCGGCCACAUUGGGACUGAGACACUGCCCAGACUCCUACGGGGGGCUGCAGUAACGAAUCUUCCGCAAUGCACGAAAGUGUGACGGAGCGACGCCGCGUGUAGGACGAAGCCCUUCGGGGUGUAAACUACUGUCAGGGGUUAGAAAGUUCUGAUCAACCCCAGAGGAAGGCACGGCUAACUCUGUGCCAGCAGCCGCGGUAAGACAGAGGUGCCAAGCGUUAGGCGGAAUCACUGGGCUUAAAGCGUGUGUAGGCGGAUUUGUAAGUACCUUGUGAAAUCCCACGGCUCAACCGUGGAACUGCUCGGUAUACUGCUUAUCUUGAGCCACUUAGGGGCUACCGGAACAAAUGGUGGAGCGGUGAAAUGCGUAGAUAUCAUUUGGAACGCCAAUGGUGAAAACAGGUAGCUGGGAGUGUGCUGACGCUGAGACACGAAAGCCAGGGGAGCGAACGGGAUUAGAUACCCCGGUAGUCCUGGCCGUAAACGAUGUCGACUAGAUCGUGGCAGCUCUGACGUUGUCAUGGUCGAAGCAAAAGUGCUAAGUCGACCGCCUGGGAAGUACGGUCGCAAGGCUAAAACUCAAAGGAAUUGACGGGGGCUCACACAAGCGGUGGAGCAUGUGGUUCAAUUCGAAGCAACGCGCAGAACCUUACCUGGGCUUGACAUGCUAGGAUUAUCCCUAUGAAAGUAGGGUAGGCCCUUCGGGAUACAACUAGUACAGGUGCUGCAUGGCUGUCGUCAGCACGUGUCGUGAGAUGUCGGGUUAAGUCCCUUAACGAGCGAAACCUUUGCCCUUAGUUACCAUCGGGUUAUGCCGGGGACUCUAAGGGGACUGCCGGUGUCAAACCGGAGGAAGGUGGA